CUCAAGAGAUCCUCCCCCUCCGCGGUAUCCCAAAGCAGUGGGAUUACAGGCAUGAACCACCUCACCUGGCCUCCUUUAAUCUUAACUUCUAUCCAAGCUCUACUCACAGAGGACUCGUGUUGAACCAAGAUGCUUCAUGCAACAGCCCCACUGAGCUCCCAGCAGAUGCUAGCACCAUUCGUCAUCCAUGAUAAGCCUCCAGUGCAAUCACUUACGUUAAGAAAUUGAGAGACUGUUGAUAUAAACUGCUUCCUGAGCCAUAUGGAAACCUGUAUCUUCUGCAGGUUGCUUGUGUGAUAUGGGUAAAGGAGUUUCUGAUUGAGCCUUGGGAAGAAGAAAUAGUACAGAAGAACAAAGAAUAAUAAUGUAUCAGCUGGACAGAAGAUGGGAGUCAUCAGAUUUAUACCCCAGUUACUUGACCCAUCAACAGACUGGUUUUUGGGUUCUGGAUGCAACACAUUUGAAACACCCAAGAAUGUCAAUAAUCUGUCUACAAAACAUCAGACUCAAGGAAUAUCAGUCUGAAAUCCAGGUGUCAGAGUGGCUUUGCUCCUUUUUGGUUUAAGGCAAGAAUCUUUCCUUUCCUGUUCCAUAGAGUCUCUGGUGAUGGCCAUAGAUCCUUGAUGUUGCUUCCUUGCAGAGAAAUCACUCCAAUCUCUUCCUCUGUCACCACAUGUUGCUCUCCCUGUGUGUCUGUCUUUAAUGGCAUUUUCAUUAUCUUAUAGGACCACAAGUCAUAUUGGAUUAGAGUCCUCUGUAAUAAUCUCAUCUUGAUCACAUCUGCAAAGACUCUAUUUUUAAAAUAAGGUCACAUUCACAGGUAUCUGGGGUUAGUACCUCAAUGUAUCUUUCAGGGGAAUGAAAUACAACUACAUGAUAGUACCUUGAUUUUUCCCAAUUAACUAGGAAAAAAGUAAAGUAUUGAUAAUUAUCAGCAUGAGUUGGAAUUUGGGGAAAAUAUACCUGUUAUAAUGUAGAUGAGGUUCCCACAAUAUAUUUUCCCCCUUUCUGAGUCUCAGGAACAUUCUUCAUUCUAAAUAUCAGUGUCUUUCCUGUGCUUUGGGCUGACAAUGCUUAAGUUUCACUGCCAUUUUAUUAUUUUUAUAUAAUUGCAAAAGCAAUAGCUGUUUAUUAUAGUUAAAAAUAGAUAGCAUAGAAGAGGAAAUAAAUAGCACUACUCCGAAACAGAGCACUCAAAGACAAGCCCUACUAAUGUGUUUAUCUGUAUAAAUUCUUUUCUAAGUUUCU